ensembl:misc_RNA Metazoa_SRP Metazoan signal recognition particle RNA
GCUGGGCAUGGUGGUGCAUGCCUGUAAUCCCAGCUACUUGGGAUGCUGAGGUAGGAGAAUUGCUCGAAUCCAGGAGGUGGAGGUUGCGGUGAGCUGAGAUUACACCACUGUACUCCAGCCUGGGUGACAGAGCAAGAUUCUAUCUCAA